AUGGCAGGAGAGACGCUUUCGAGAAAACUGUCAGCCGUAUCACCGAUACCGGGUACCACGAAAACUGUUUCUGUUCUUCCUAUAGUUGGUCCAGGGGGUAUUGGAAAGACAACUUUCACCACUCACCUCUAUAAUGAUGCAAGGACUGAAGGGCACUUCCAGGUCAGGGUCUGGAUAUGUGUAUCCACUGAGUUCAAUGUGCUUAAGCUCACCAGGGAGAUCCUUGCCUGCAUACCUACAACUGAAGGAGAAGGAAGCAGCGGUGUUGCAAAUGAAACAACCAAUUUAGACCAGCUUCAGAAAUCCAUAGCGCACCGUCUCAACUCCAAGAGGUUUCUAAUUGUCUUGGAUGAUAUAUGGAAAUGUGAUGGUGAGGAUCAGUGGAAAACCCUGUUAGCUCCCUUCACAAAGGGGGAAGUUGACGGAAGCAUGCUACUUAUCACAACUCGAUUCCCAGAUCUAGCAAAAAUGGUGGGAACAGUUGACUCACUAGAACUGGCAGGUUUGGAGUCUAAUGACUUCUUCACAUUCUUUGAAGCAUGUAUAUUUGGUGAAGAAGACAAGCCUGAGCAUUACCAAGAUGAGUUUGCUAGUAUUGCACGAAAAAUUGCAAACAAGCUAAAGGGUUCCCCGUUGGCAGCCAAAACUGUUGGUAGACUAUUGCACAAGGACCUUUCUCAGAAACAUUGGAAUGGAGUUCUUGAAAAUAAUGAGUGGCUAAAGCAGCAAAAUAAUUAUGAUAUCAUGCCAUCUUUAAAGAUUAGCUACGAUUGCCUCCCUUUUUAUCUGAAGAAAUGCUUUUCCUAUUGUGGUCUUUUCCCUGAAGAUCAUAGGUUUACUUCUUCUGAAAUCAAUCAUUUCUGGGUUUCAAUUGGCAUCAUAGACUCUAAUCACCAAGGCAACAGGAAUUACUUGGAAGAACUAGUGGACAGUGGUUUUCUCAUGAAGAAAUUCAAUUAUCAGGGUGAUCGAUGCUGGUAUGUAAUGCAUGAUUUAAUGCAUGAGCUAUCUAAGAGUGUUUCUGCACAAGAAUGCCUCAAUAUAAGUGGCUUAGAUUUCAGAGCUGAUGCCAUCCCACAAUCUGUUCGACACUUAUCUAUCAACAUAGAAGACAGAUAUGAUGCAAAUUUUGAGAAAGAAAUGUGUAAACUAAGGGAGAGGAUAGACAUUGCUAAUCUGCGGACUUUGAUGUUUUUUAGAGGAUAUGAAGAAGAAAGAAUCGCCAAGAUUCUGAAAGAUAGCUUCAAGGAAAUAAAUAGUCUGCGUGUCCUAUUUAUAGUGGUGAAGUAUGCACAAUCUUUUCCAUAUAGGUUUUCAAAACUUAUCCACCUCCAGUACCUCAAAAUUACUUCAUCUCACGGUCACAGGGAAAUGAGAUUACCUAGUACACUAUCAAGAUUUUAUCACUUGAAAUUCUUGGACCUAGAUUAUUGGAAUGGUCGUUCUGAUUUGCCUGGAGAAUUUUGCCACCUUGAGAAUUUACAUGAUUUCCAUGGUAGAAGUGAACUCCACUCCAAUAUUCGCAAUGUGGGAAAGAUGAAGCAUCUACUGAGGCUAAAAGAAUUCCAUGUCAGGAAAGAGAGCAUGGGAUUUGAACUGACAGAACUUGGGGCAUUGACAGAGCUUGAAGGAGGACUGAUUAUACGUGGUCUUGAACACGUGGAAACCAAGGAGGAAGCUACUGAAGCAAAACUGAUGUUGAAAAGGAAUCUGAAGGAGCUGGAAUUACUCUGGGGCAGAGAUGGACCAACUACAGAUCCUGAUAUUCUUGAUGCUCUUCAACCACAUUCUAAUCUUAGAGUACUUACAAUUGCAAAUCAAGGUGGUACCGUUGGUCCUAGUUGGUUGUGUCUUGACAUCUGGUUAACAAGUUUAGAGACUCUCACUCUAGAAGGCGUAUCUUGGAGCACCCUCCCACCUUUUGGGAAGCUACCAAAUCUCAAGGGACUCAAUUUGAUAAAAGUUUCUGGAAUGCAUCAGUUUGGGCCUCGAUGUGCUGGUGUUCCAGGCAAAUGUUUUAUACGCUUGAAGACAGUUGGGUUUUAUGAGAUGCCAGAACUUGCUGAAUGGGUUGUGGAACCUAAUUGCCAUUCCUUUCCAAGUCUUGAAAGAAUCGAAUGCAUGGAUUGCCCCAAUCUCCGUGUGAUGCCCUUGUCGGAGGAAUCUUGCACCAAUUUGCGCAGUCUUCGAGUCUCUGGGUGCCCCAAGAUGUAUCUGCCCUCCAUGCCUCACACCUCCACACUGACAAAUUUGGAUGUUAAAAGAGGUGAUUCAGAAAGGUUGCGUUAUGAUGGAAAGAAAUUGGUUGUUAGUGGGUAUGGCGGUGCUUUGGCCUACCACAAUCUGGAUAAAGUAGAAGAUAUGGCUAUUGAAAAUGUAUCACACAUAUCAUUGACAGACAUUGAAAAGUUUAAAUCCCUAACAGAACUAACUGUCGAAAGAUGCGACGGUUUCUUCCCUGAAGAGCUGGAUGGCAGUAUUGUCUUCCAUUCAGUUAAGAGUCUCAAAUUAGAUGUAUUUCAUCUUACCAGCAAAUCAUCAUCAUCAAAAGUGUUAAACAGUUCCAAAAACCGGAAAAAACCCAGCUGGGAACCUCUAGAAGGUUCCCAAAACCGGGAGCGCUGGACGGUUAAACGAGCCGGCCCGUUGCCUCGCUGCUCGGUCGCUCGCCUGUGCGAAGCGCCCGCAGUUUGA
rnacentral:rRNA from 1 species